rnacentral:rRNA from 1 species
UACGUAGGGGGCAAGCGUUGUCCGGAAUCAUUGGGCGUAAAGCGCGCGUAGGCGGCCCGGUAAGUCCGCUCUGAAAGUCCAGGGCUCAACCCUGGAAAGCGGGUGGAUACUGCCGGGCUAGAGUCCGGAAGAGGAGAGUGGAAUUCCCGGUGUAGCGGUGAAAUGCGCAGAUAUCGGGAAGAACACCCGUGGCGAAGGCGGCUCACUGGUCCGGUACUGACGCUGAUGUGCGAAAGCGUGGGGAGCAAACAGG